GAGACUGGUUUGUCUGAUGCUGCUGCCGGAGCUGAGGUCUUGCCUGGAGAUCCGAACGAGACACCACGUCAACCGGCGCGGGGAGUCCCGUGAAGACAUGAGGGCGCCAGGAGCGCAGUCACGGAAGAAUAGAAGAACAACUCAGAGGAGGAAGAAGUCAGACAUAGCCAGACACGGCUGCUAGCAGUUCCACCAAUGAAAGAGGAGACCAGGAUGUUUAAAACAGGCAAACACAAGGUGCGAAAAACCAGAAGCGAAAACUUCUGAGGUCAUUUAAGCAAGGACUAUCGUUAUCCCCGGAAGCAGAGAGAAGUUCCCUUUGCCCAACAUCACACUGCAAGCACGUGUUGGAGCUGAGAUUCAAACCCAGGCAUCCAGGGUCCAGGGCCCAUGCUUUUAAUAUAUUCCAUAUCUUAGGAGAAUUUCCCCUAUUUAAACAAUAAAAGUGCAAAAAUCUUGUGGCUAGCCAAAAUUUUCAGUUGUUUGGAAAACUUAUUUAUCCAAUAAGUGGAAAACUCACUUGUCCUCCAACAAUUCUGGAUAAAUGAAAGAACGAAUUGAACUGAGACUGGAAUCCGGGUCUCCCAGUACUUUGUAGUUCCUAUCCAUAUGGCUUGUCAGGAAGGCCACAGGGAGGUUAACUAACUCUGCGUAACCAGAAACAAUCCCACAUCAGACUGUUGGCAGUGGGAGUGGAACACUCAGAGCUGAACCGCAUGCAAGAUGGUUGCAUUUUCAUUUGCAAUGUCGUCAUCUUCCUCAUGGCUAAAGAGGUAUUUUGGAGUUGACAUGAAGGCUACUGUAAUUUUUAGAGGCAUUUUCUUUCUGGCCUGUAUUUACAUAUUGUGGUAGAAGAGUCAGAAGACUUCAAGCUUCAAAAGUGAAUCUUGUUGCGAGUUACAAAAGCACCACCCGGUGGGGUGCAGCUCUCAGCAUGUGUCACCACAGGCACUGUGAUUUCCCUGUCUUCAUCCAACUUUGGUUGCUGUUCUUCAUGCUCAGGAAUUCUGCAACUGCUGUAGCUUUUGCUGUUGUUAUGUCUGUAGGUAUGGACUCAUUUCUACCAUUCUGGAAUGAAACAUUAUUUCAAGGGAAGCUUCUCAUUGUAAAAGGUCCACACAUUCAGAAGGAAACUGGGAGUACAUUUUCUCAUAGGCCUGGAGCAUUAACUGACUAUGCAUCUUUCCCCUCAGUGUUGUCAUCAUGUUGUAAGGGGAUGAGUCAUGGACAACAUUUUCACACACAUACGUGAGGUCCAUUGACCAGUCUUUAGGACAACUAGAAAUCUUUUCUUUCUUUGUUUUAAAAAGGAAGACAAGUCAAGAUACAGCAAAUAAAAAUGCUCAGCACAUUUGCUGAAAUCUUAGCAAAAUCAAAUUACUAGUAAUUUGUUAAUCACACUAUACCUGUUUUGAGCCAAUCCUACUUAACCCACCCUCCAUCUUCCUCAUGCUUGCCUCCCUGGUGAACUCCUAUUUAUGUUACAAAGCUCAGUGUUUAUGUUACUACUUUUGUGCUAUUUCUGAACGUUAAAUGUACCUCUAUUAUAGAACAUAUCUCAUGGAAUAGUUAUUAUUGCAUAUCCACUGCCCUUGUUAGGCUGUGAGUGAGCUUUCUUUCUUUCUUUUUCUUUCCUUCCCUCCUUCCUUCCCUACUUCCUCCCUCCCUCCCUCUCUCCCUCCCUCCCUCUCUCCCUCCCUCCCUUCCUUCCUUUGCUCCUUCUCUCUUUCUCUCUUUUUCAUUUCUUUUCUUUUUUUUUAAAUUUGAGACAGGGUGUCACAAAUAUGAAUGGGACCUGUGAAUAUGAUGGCUGUCACUCUCUGAUUAGAUUACAUUAUAUGGCUAAGGUGAAGGAAUUCUGCAGAUGUAAUUAAGGUCCCAGAUGAGUUGAUAUUGAGUUACUCACAAAGGAGAUUAUACUGGAUGGCCCUACCUUAAUCAGGGAAAAGCCCUUAAAAGAGGACUGGGCCUUUCCUGAAGGAGGACAGUCCACUGCUGGCUUUGAAGCAGUAAGCAGCUGUGUUUUAAGGGGGCCUAUGGAGGGGCCCAUGUGGCAAGGUCCUGAGGGUGGCCUCUAGGAGUUGGCAGCAGUUCCCAGCCACUGGCUAGCAAGAAAACAGGUGGUUCAGCCACAUAGCCACAAGGAAAUGAAUUCUACCAACAAUCCAAAUGAGCUUGGAAGUGGAUAUUUUCCAUGGUCAAGCCUCCAGACGAACACCUUAACUGUAACAUAUGAACAGCUGAGCAGAGGACCUGCUUCAGCCAUGCCUGGACUCCUGACUUGUGGAAACUGAGAUAACAAAUGUAUAUUAUUU
rnacentral:lncRNA from 1 species